UUUUGUCCUGCAGACACUACAUUCGACAUAAUGGUUUGUUUGCGGGUGAAAUUAGUAAGCUGUCUCUUUACAUUUCCUGAUAGCUGUAGCAGUCAGAGAGCAGGUCUUUCUGCACUCAGGGCAGCUGUACCCUGUCUCUUCUUGUUGAUCCCAGUACUGCCUGAUGGAGGCCGUCCACAGAGUCUUCAGAGCUGAGCGAAUCUCCAGCAUCUGUUAUAUUAGGACAGAUUCAAAAAAGAAAGGUACUCCUUCAAUCCCAUGAGCCACCAGUGCCUCACACAAGCGAGUAAGGUUUCAUGUGACGUCACACAGUAGUGUGGCCGCCAUUUGUAGGACCGAAUUGCAAUUCCGUCAAGCUGCUGUGCUGUGCUCUGGGCUGUGAUAACAGCAAAUCACAAUGGAUUAUUUACCAAGAGAUAUGGAUGUAUGAGAUUCUUUUGAUUAAAUA